rnacentral:rRNA from 1 species
UUGGCUAAUCCUGGUCGGACAUCAGGAGGUUAGUGCAAUGGCAUAAGCCAGCUUGACUGCGAGCGUGACGGCGCGAGCAGGUGCGAAAGCAGGUCAUAGUGAUCCGGUGGUUCUGAAUGGAAGGGCCAUCGCUCAACGGAUAAAAGGUACUCCGGGGAUAACAGGCUGAUACCGCCCAAGAGUUCAUAUCGACGGCGGUGUUUGGCACCUCGAUGUCGGCUCAUCACAUCCUGGGGCUGAAGUAGGUCCCAAGGGUAUGGCUGUUCGCCAUUUAAAGUGGUACGCGAGCUGGGUUUAGAACGUCGUGAGACAGUUCGGUCCCUAUCUGCCGUGGGCGCUGGAGAACUGAGGGGGGCUGCUCCUAGUACGAGAGGACCGGAGUGGACGCAUCACUGGUGUUCGGGUUGUCAUGCCAAUGGCACUGCCCGGUAGCUAAAUGCGGAAGAGAUAAGUGCUGAAAGCAUCUAAGCACGAAACUUGCCCCGAGAUGAGUUCUCCCUGAGACUUUAAGUCUCCUGAAGGAACGUUGAAGACGACGACGUUGAUAGGCCGGGUGUGUAAGCGCAGCGAUGCGUUGAGCUAACCGGUACUAAUGAACCGUGAGG